CAAUGAAAUAAAUAAAACCUCUGUCAUUCUCUGGUGCUGACAACAUCCUGGAAUGUAUCUACAGCUCCAGGGACGCCAUUUUGUCCUGAGAGGAAGCCAGCUUCCUCCCUCAGGAAGGAAACCCAGGCCAAGAGGACGGAAUGGUUACUCAUGUCAUGCGUGCUCAGUGGCUGCCCAUCUCAGCAUCAGCGGUAUGAACAGAGCACUCUGGAGGGGCAGGGAGAGGUGGCUUUGUGGGUAGUGGGAUGCCACCUUCACUGUCCUUCAGUCCAAUAGGACAUGUAGCAAAUGUAAAUAAAUCCAGUGACAACACAUGAA